rnacentral:lncRNA from 1 species
GUUCGCCACGGUGAGUGGGCCACGCGUUGGUUACGGACCGACCUGAGGAGUCCUGCAUCCAUUAUUGCACCGACCCUCGUCGCCUAUUUAAACCUGCCUCCCCCCUUCGAGGAUCUCACUUUGUACAUGAGUUUCUUCGAUUUUUCCUUUCUGGCCUCAGGCGUCCUUUGAGUCAUCCUCAUCUCUGUACCCCUGCCUCCCUUAGGCCAGCUUGGAUUAGCCCCAAAACUUUCCUUGCUUCCAUACCCCUGUUCAUAGACCGUGCUGGUCUUCCUUCGUCGCAUAAAUGGGCGCGGUCAUGGCUCAGAUGUUAGCCC